rnacentral:sRNA from 1 species
UCGAGAAUGCAAAACUCGGUGUGUUC